UCACGAUGAAGACCAAGAUGACGAGAAUGAGGGAGUGUGUACUCCAAUUCCCGCCGGAUUGGGUCCCUCCUACUCGUGAUUAUUUUGAAGGCAUUUGUCUGAGUGUU
rnacentral:snoRNA from 1 species